rnacentral:ncRNA from 2 species
AAUUGCACGGUAUCCAUCUG